UUCUAUACUUUUAUAUCUUUCUCUUAAUUUCUCUUUAUACACCUCUAUCUCUAUCUCUAUCUUUUAGGAUAUUGUCAGAUUGAUUUAUGUUCUUGAAGUGAAGGAUGAAACUUUUUUUAUUGAUAAUUAUAACUUUAAUUUGGUUUGCAUUUUUUGCUUACUGAGAUAUUUAUUUUUGUGCUAUAUCUCUGGAUUCUAUGGUGCUACUUCUCCCUCCCAAUUAUUUUAUACAUAUUAACUUCUCAAAAAUUCAAAUAUCAAAUUAAACUUCAGGUUGAACACUUUUUUAUCAUUCUGAUGUCUCAAUAGUGAAAUUUAAUGGUGAAAAAAAUCUGAAAUUUCAUUCCAUGGAAUUCAUGUGGCAAUUAAAGAUUCUUUAAAAAAACAGUACUGGGUAGUUAGGUUUUCCACAGUUUGAUAGUGUUAUUUAGUUUUCAUGAAUUCGUUUUGUAUAAUGCGGCUUAUUAGGUAUUUAAUUGGUGUUGAUUCAUUGAGCAAAGUUGCAUUAUAAUGAAUUUUAGUUAUAGUUUACGAGUGGUCGUCUUAGGUGCUUCUUAAUGAUUAUGCAUCUGUGAAGUUAUUUUUGAGCCUGCUGAAUAUGCACAUUAAGAGUACAAACAAAACUAGAAACUGGUGUUCUAAUACCAAAUAAUAGUUUAAUGUGCAUUUCUUACUGUUUUUAAUUUGUUCCCAGUCCUUAAUUUUAUUGUUGAAAUGAUUUCUUUGAGCUAUAUAAUCAUGUUAAUAUCUCAUCUAUAACUACAUUUUUUCUAGAACUACCAUUUAGGUUAUUUUCUCUUUUGUACUAAAUUAUUUUUAGCUAUUAUUGUAAUUUGCAGAAAAGAAAAAAAGCCCUUGAACAGUCAUGGACAAGCCUAGAAGUAAGAAAUGGAUGUAUUAUGAUAGAGUCAGUAAAGAAUAUUUGAAUGGAGUAGAGAAUUUUCUAAACUACGCCUUCGUGAAAGAGAAAUAAUUUUAUGUCCUUGUUCACAAUGUGUGCUAUACUAUCAAGUAAAUCGGGCAACUCCAUAUGAUCAUCUUGUGAUUAAUGGUGUUAUUCCAUCACAUGAUACUUUAUUUUGUCAUGGGGAGUCUCUCAAUGAAUCAAAUAGUACUCGUGUAAAUAAUUACAGACAAUUAACUAUAAGGGGUGAUGAUAUGAGAGGAAUGAUACAUGAUGCUUCUGGAGGCUUUACCCAGUCUAUGGAUAGUGAUAUUAGUGAAAGUGGUGAGAUGGAGACAAACUCAGAAGAAAAUAAUACUAAUCCAUCUAUAAAUCAAUCUCAUCGAGAGGUGGAUAAGUUUGAACAACUCUUGAAGGAUUCAAAUGAAGAACUAUAUCCUGGAUGCAAGAAUUUUAAUAAACUGUCAUUUUUGCUGCAUCUCUACAAUAUGAAACGGUCGUUCAAAUGGACAAAUGAAUCAUUUAAUGCUUUGCUUGGACUAUUAAAAGAUGCACUGUCUGAGGGUGAAAAGUUGCCUCCUUCUUUCUAUGAGACUAAAAAGACACUUGAAGUGUUGGGCUUAAAGUACAAAAAAUUCAUGCUUGUCCAAAUGAUUGCAUGCUUUUUAGGAAUGAAUUUGCCAGUAAGGAUGUUAAUAAAUGCUUAAUUUGUGGGGCUUCUAGAUGGACAAAAAUUGAUAGAAAAAUCCCAGCCAAAGUCCUAAGGUAUUUUCCUUUAAAACUAAGGUUACAAAGAUUAUUUAUGUCUUCAGAAACUUCUAAGCUUAUGCGGUGGCAUCAUGAAGAAUGCAACAAAGAUGGAGUUUAACGACAUCCUGCAGGUUCUGAAGCUUGGAAAAGUUUCGAUAAUAAAUAUCUAGAAUUCGCUAGAGAUGCCCGUAAUAUUCAUCUAGGAUUAGCUUCUGAUGGAUUUAAUCCAUUUGGUACAAUGUGAACUGUUCAUAGUAUAUGGCCAGUGAUUAUAAUGCCAUAUAAUCUCCCACCUUGGAUGUGCAUGAAAGCAGAGUUUUUUAUUUUGUCAUUACUUAUUCCUGGACCAAAAGGGCCUGGCAAUAACAUUUAUGUCUUUCUGGAAACUUUAAUAGAAGAGUUAAUUGAAUUAUAGGAUGUCGGGUAGAAACAUAUGAUGCCUUUGCUAAGGAGACAUUUAAAAUUCGAGCAGCUCUCAUGUGGACUAUAAUUGAUUUUCCAGCAUAUGGUAAUCUCUCUGGAUGGUGCACUUAUAGUAAAUUUGUAUGCCCUUCUUGUAACAUAAACACUGAAUCUAGAAGACUCAAACAUGGAAAAAAAAUUUGUUAUAUGGGCCAUCGACGUUUCUUGAAGCCUGGGCACAAAUAUCGAAAUGAUGCAAAGUCAUUUGAUGGGACUAAAGAAUCAAGACCUGCACCUUAUCCAGUAUCUGGAUCACUAGUUCUAAAUCAAGUUAGAGAUAUAAAGUUCAUUCUCGGUCAAUCAAGUGAAGAUGUAAGAGGGGUGAUGAAAAACACAUGGAAAAAAGAGAAAUAUUUUUUACAUUCUUCCUUAUUGGGAGUAUAACUUGGUGCGUCAUAAUCUUGAUGUGAUGCACAUAGAAAAGAAUGUAUGUGAUAACUUAAUUUAUACAUUAUUGGGUCUUGGUAAAAAGUCAAAAGAUAACAUAGAAGCUCGAUUGGACUUGAAGGAGAUGAAAAUAAGACCAAGCCUGUGGCCUCAAACUCGAGCUAGUGGGAGGACAUACCUUCCUGCUACUUUUUUCACAAUGUCUCCAACAGAAAAAGAGUUAUUUUAUGAAGUACUGCAAAAUGCCAAGUUUCCACAUGGCCAUGCGUCUAAUAUCUCAUGUUGCAUUCGCAAACGAAAAAUAUUGGGGCUAAAAACUCAUGAUUGCCAUGUUAUAAUGCAAGAACUUCUUCCUCUUGCAUUGCGAAGGUCAACAGAUAAAAGAGUCAGUUCUGUUUUAAUUGAACUAUGCACAUUUUUUCGGGUUCUUUGUAGCAAAGUGCUUAAAAUAGAAGAGUUAGAGUUACUUGAAGAAAAAAUUGCAGUAACAUUGUCUAAUAUGGAAAAACUCUUCCUCCCGUCAUUCUUUACUAUUAUGGUACACUUGGUCAUUCACUUGGCAACUGAGGCUAAACUUGCGGGGCCAGUGCAUUAUCGUUAGAUAUACCCAAUUGAGAGGUAUGAAGAAUAUCAUUAAAUUAUUAUUGUAUAUCUUAAGCUUUUAUUAACUAUAAAAAUAUUAGAUUAAUAAAUUACUUUAUUCUACAGAUACUUGUGUACUUUAAAUCAUAUGUUCGUAAUCGUGCAAACCCAGAAGGUUGAAUAGCAGAAGCAUAUAUCGCAAAUGAGUGCAUGACAUUUUGCUCGCGAUAUUUGGAGGGGGGAGAUUUACGGUUUUAUUGGUCAAAAAAAGUGAUGUUGAGAUUGAGCAUGAGACUAAUAGAGAAGUAUGUCUUUUUUCUACUAUUGGGGAGUCGUAUGGUCAAGUAGAUGUAUUUGAGUUGGAUGAGAAAACAUGGUUGCAAACACAUCGACAUGUGCUUUUCAAUUGUGAAUCAGAUGUGGUUGAGAAUUACAAAAAGGAACAUAUUGCUGAAAUCAAGAGAUUACAUCGUAAGCGUCGUCUUACACAACAUCAACUCGAUCGGUUAGAUUUUGAUACAUUUCAUGAGUGGUUCAAGGAAAAAGUGAAUGAGUUGGAUGUCAAAUCUAACAUACCAAAGGAUGUUAAGGUCCUUGCGAAAGGGCCAAGUCGCAUUGCAAGAAGAUUCAAGGCGUUCAAUGUAAUUAAUGGGUAUUGAUUUCGAAUGAAACAAAAUGAAGAGUUCAUGGAGACACAAAAUAGUGGUGUUAUGGUCAUUUCAAAAACUGAAAGUUAUGCAAGUACAAGUGACAAAGCUCCAAAAUUUGCAAAUAUCAACUAUUAUGGCAGAUUAAAUGAUAUUGUGGAGUUAAACUACUAUGAAGAAUUUAAGGUUGUCUUGUUUAAGUGCGAUUGGGUUGAUGUUACCAAAGGUAGAGGAGUUAAGGAGGAUGACUUAGGUUUACACUAGUAAACUUCUCACACCUAAUAGACUCUGGCGACCGAGAAAGUCAUGAGUCUUUUGUCUUUGCAGAACAAGCUCAACAAGUAAUAUUUGUACAAAAUCCUAAGGAUCAUGAAUGGUUUGUCCCCAGGUUAAUUAAACCUCGAGAUAUUUUUUAUAUGGGAGAGGAAAAUAGUAUGCAGUUUGAAUCAUCAAUGCAGAGUGAUGCCGCUGGCUCGACGCUCUUAGAAAAUACUAUUGAUUCAGAAUAUGAAUGACAUGAUUGGGUAAGAAGCGGUGUCGAUGGGAUAGUAAUUGAUAUGAAUAUACAUUCUCGAAAUUCUCCAAAUGAAGGUGAAUCUCAUGUUGAUGGAGGAAAUGACAUUGAAAAUGAAAGUGAUCGAAAAUACGAUAGAUGGUAGUUAUUAAAUAUUUUUUGCUGGUGUUAUUAGAGUACUUUUAGGUAUUUGAUAUUUGUUUCCAGUGAAUUGAAUACGAUAUUUUUUUUGUUUUUAAUUUAAGUCACAUUCCACAGAACAUGCAUGUUAGUAAGCAAUGGAUUAUCUAUUCUUAUAUUGGUGGAUUAACCAAUAUUUGUGUGAGUUUUCUGUGCUUAUUGUUACUUCUUUUGCUGCUAUAGCUCUUGGAUUAUGAGAUGCUAAGGUGUUUCUACCACUGGAUAAUAACAUAUAUUUUCUGGUGCACCAAUACCUCUUAACUCGAGGACUAUCUUUGCAUUAAGGCUUUGUUUUUGUAUAUUUUUUAUCCACAAAUCGCGGUUUAUAUAUUUUUUUAUAGCUUGAGAUGUGGAUGAUGCUUAUGUGCCGGUAGAUCCAUUGGAGUUAAUCUGGUACUAGUACAACUGAAUGUAGUUAGUUAACUACUUCAUUUUGGCGAAGGAACUAUGCGGACCAGAGGUGGCAAAAGAUUGGUAAUUGAACAACAUGAUUAUGAAAGUGUACGAUCUUAUAUUGAGUAAUUGAUGGAUGGUCAGAACCACUCUCAAACCCAAUCACACGAUAAUCAAUCUACUGAACUGUAUAGUUCUUCUAGCACUGAAGUUCAAGAGAAUAAAGAAUCAGGCAAUUCAAAAGCUAGGAAGGUUCGUGGGCCUACAUUAUUAAAAGAUAUUUGGAAAUUACCUCCAGGGAAGAAAAUUGUUGUGCAAUUUAAUACUCAUAACCAAGCCAUCGGAAAAGAGGGUCUAAAGCUUGCUAGCUUUCUAGGCAUUAUCGAAAGAACUCCAGAUCUAACACCUCUACACAUAGAUGAUUGGCAAAAUUUUGAUAAAGAAGAAAAGAAGAAAUUGCUAGAGUUUGUAAGGAAAAAGUUCUCUAUCCCAACACGUGGAGAAGCAUAUGUCUUAAAGUCAACUGGAAAAAAAAUGGAAAGAUUACAAAUCCGAUUUAAAAAGUGAAUAUUUGGAAAAAUAUAAAACCAAAGAUGUUUUGCUGAAGAAUAGACCAGCAAGUCGUAUACCAAAGGAUCAAUGGACUGGUCUUGUUUCUUAUUGGCUUUCUGAUAAAGCUAAGAGGCGUACCCAGGCAAAUAAAAAUAAUAGGGCCAAACAAAAUGUGCCUCACAUAGGAGGAUCCAAAAGUAUUGCCACCUUAAUGGAUGAGCAGGCCAAGAAUGGUAUAGAGCCUACACGAGCAGAAAUAUUUAUACUGACAUACAAAAAACGUAAAAAUGGUAGACUAUUGGAUGAGGAGUCUGCAAAGGCAGUUGACAUGAUGAACGAAAGGUUGAGGGAUAUUGACGGAUCAAAUGACCAGCCUUCCCGCAGUGUUGCUUGGGAAGGAGAUGUGUAUUCCCAAGUGCUUGAAAAUGAUAAAAGUGGGUCGUUGAUACCAACCAUGACCAUGAGCGAAUACCAGAAUCACCCAAUAUGCAUAAUGUAGCUGGAAAUACUCCGUCGUCUUGUGGUUAAACAGUACGAUGUGAAAGAUUUCAGUACGAGGAAGAUUUGCAGAAUUGUUUGAGGGCUUCUACCCUUUUGUUAUUAUGAAUAUUAUAUAGAAUUAGCGAUAAUAAUGUUGGUUAUUUUGUUUGAACAAUGUAAUUUAUCUUACAUGUCGUUGAUACAUUAGUAAGAAUUAAUACUUUCUUUUGUUUUUCUAGAUUGAAUGAAAUAUAUUAUG